AAAUGAAUAGACGGGGGCCCGCACAAGCGGUGGAGCAUGUGGUUUAAUUCGACGCAACGCGAAGAACCUUACCGGGGUUUGACAUCUUUCUGCCAGCCUGGGAAACCAGGUCUUCUUCCUUCGGGAAGACAGAAAGACAGGUGGUGCAUGGUUGUCGUCAGCUCGUGUCGUGAGAUGUUGGGUUAAGUCCCACAACGAGCGCAACCCUUGUCCUUAUUUGCCACCCUGUUUACAGAGGUACUUUAAGGAGACCGCCGUAGAUAAUACGGAGGAAGGUGGGGAUGACGUCAAAUCCUCAUGCCCCUUACGUCCCGGGCUACACACGUGCUACAAUGGUCUGUACAGAGGGUAGCCAAGGAGCAAUCCGGAGCCAAUCCCAGAAAGCAGGCCCCAGUUCGGAUUGGAGGCUGCAACUCGCCUCCAUGAAGUCGGAAUCGCUAGUAAUCGCGGAUCAGCACGCCGCGGUGAAUCCGUUCCCGGGCCUUGUACACACCGCCCGU
rnacentral:rRNA from 1 species